UGAGGAAUAUUGGUCAAUGGAUGGAAAUCUGAACCAGCCAAGUAGCGUGCAGGAUGACGGCCCUAUGGGUUGUAAACUGCUUUUAUGUGAGAAUAAAGUUAGGUAUGUAUACUUAUUUGCAUGUAUCACAUGAAUAAGGACCGGCUAAUUCCGUGCCAGCAGCCGCGGUAAUACGGAAGGUCCAGGCGUUAUCCGGAUUUAUUGGGUUUAAAGGGUGCGUAGGCCGUUUGAUAAGCGUGCUGUGAAAUAUAGUGGCUCAACCUCUAUCGUGCAGCGCGAACUGUCGAACUUGAGUGCGUAGUAGGUAGGCGGAAUUCGUGGUGUAGCGGUGAAAUGCUUAGAUAUCACGAAGAACUCCGAUUGCGAAGGCAGCUUACCGUAACGUUACUGACGCUUAAGCACGAAGGUGCGGGUAUCGAACAGGAUUAGAUACCCUGGUAGUCCGCACAGUAAACGAUGGAUGCUCGCUGUUGGCCUUUAUGGUCAGUGGCUUAGCGAAAGCGUUAAGCAUCCCACCUGGGGAGUACGCCGGCAACGGUG
rnacentral:rRNA from 1 species